ensembl:lncRNA
CUGAGUUAUGUGGUGGCAGCAAGUCACGGCUUCACACACUGCAGCCACUAGGUCCACCUGGGUAUGACUGUCCUUCAAAUCCCUGUGGCUCACAGAGAGGGUCUCACUAUUUGAUUUCUAGGUAUUUAAGACCUAAUAGAUGGCUGAGCUCAGCCCUUCAUACAGGGACAAGAGGAAGAAGAGGAAGGAGCUGAAAGGAGGAGGGCUGUGAUAAGAGAAACCCUGGAGCCCUGCCCUGCCCUCCAGCCUGUGGAACUCAGCAUCCAGAAAUGCAGCUCCAGACCCUCAGUCCUGCUAUGGGUGCCUGACAGGCCCAGCACAGCUGCGCUUCCCAGAGCAGGGGCAAAUUGGGCAGAGGAUGGCCCAGUAGCAGUGUAGCAGUGCCUGUGCAGGGGCCGCACGCCACCGCAUGAGGUUGGCACACCAACGAGCAUUGCUGGCUGUCUCUGACCUCAGAGAAGUGCAGCGACCAGCAGCACUGCCAGAUGCAGAAAUUACUUUCAGGGAUACUUUGAGUGCAUCGCCAAGAUGUGUAUUCCAUGAAUUCCACCUUGACUCGUGAAAGUCUCACUGCUGGAAAUUUGUUCAGCUCCUCCAAACAGACUCACCCCCUUCAGCUUGCUCCUAUCACUGCCACUAAAACCACCACAGGAGUGUGGAGCUAAUUAAAGGACAAAAAGCAUCCGUUCUGGUGGAAGAAGGAGUAGCAGAAACCCCUUGAAAGGUGACACGGAAUGGGCAUGGGGUUGGACUCCACUGCACACAGAGAGGACUAUGGGGAAGUUUACUGUGCAGAGGCAACGGGGACAGAAACAUAGAAUCAUUAAGGCUGGAAAGGACCUCUAAUCUUAUCCAGUCCAACUGCCAGUCCAUCCCCAUUAUGCCCACUAACCAUGUCCCCUAGUGCCACAUCCACAUGACUUUUGAACUCCUCCAGGAACAGUGACUCCACCACCUCCCUGGGCAGCCUGUUCCAAUGCAUCACCACUCAUCCGGGUAAGUUUGUCCUAAGAUCCAACCUGAACCUCCCAUGGUACAACUUAAGGCCAGAAGGAACACUCAAAGGGAUAAGGGCUUAUGAGCACAACAAAAACUAGACUGGGACAACAUCUACAUUAUGAAAAGUCGGAGCCAUGUUACUGUCUGACGAUAAGGUGUCCUGCUUCUGAAGAGGGCCCGACAACACCACUGGUAUGGUAGAAAGGAAGGAGCAGCAUGAAGAUGACUGGAGCCAUAGAAGUGCUUGUGGUGUCAGGGAGCUGCAUUAAGCCAUUUUUUGCAAUUGAUGAGAUGGAGCAGCUUCUUUGGCGUGCCGUGAUACUGUCUCCCACCAACAUUAGUCACAGCUGAGACUCUGACUGUAAAGUUCAAACCACAACCAGUUCCAGUUGUGGACACAACUCAUUAUUAAAUCAAUGAGUCUUAAUCACAUCAUGACAUCUUGCAAAGAACAUCUGGACGGCAACUGAUGCUACACAGGAGCCCCUCCUGCCGGCAGCUGUUGUUCCUGGUGCCCAGUGAGGAGCAGCCCCUGGCCACGUCCACAUGCCUCUUCCAUCUACCUGUGAUGACCUGCAGUGGGUUGGUGUUAUGGAUAAAGCACACUAUGGGGGGAAACUAGAUGAAAAGAAGGAAACCAACCACUCUCCUCGAAAGAAAAUUAUGACAGAUAUUCCAGUGGAGAAGACAAUGUAAAGCCAUAGGUGGUCUGCUCUCUUCACCCAGCCCCACAAGGACCUGUGACCAACUCAUCCAUGGAAGCCCAAUCUUCCUCAGGGAUUACACCAAAACCAGCAUGGGCAUUCAAUAAGCCAAGGUCUUUCUGAGUAAGCUUUUAAGGAGCACGUGUACCCUGUUCCACCCCUCUGUCCCUGCUGUUGGUUCUGCAGCGCUUCUGCUGUCCCCUCCUAUCACCUCUAGCCCUGCGGUAUCAUAGGACAUGGAACAGCCCCUGCACUCUGGUGGCAUCAUAUCAGAGGCGCUGACGAGGACCCUAGGCCUUUUGACCCACUGUGGCCAGCUGCCCCUUGUCACACCACAGUGGAAAAGCAUGUCACUCGACAGAACAAGCCACUUGCCACUGUGCCCCAGGUUGUGAUGCUCCUCCUCGCACCUGCAGUUGCCCAAAGGGGGACCCCACGGCUCAGCGGCUCCCCACGCAGCGCCCCACCACACGUGCUCUCUGAAGCCCGAAUGUGCAAAGCUAAAAGUCUGACAGAGAAGCACCAUAAAGCAGCUCCACCUUUGGAGGGAUAAAAGCCAGUACCCAACAUUUCCUGCAGCCAGCUGCAAUUUCAGGGCAGCGUUUCCCCUCUAAUUAGUUGGUAUUUGCUGUCCCAGCUAUUAUCUUCCUGGUUACGUAGCGCUGGGGACAAUGGGUCCUUAUUUCCUGCCACAAGCACCAGGUUACUGUUUACCUCCAGCUGCACCUCUUCUACCCCUCUGCUCACAUUAAAAGAAAGUAUCUCUAA